AACUGCAAGAAUCAAUUUCUCCAAUUUCAUAAUGCAGAUACAGUGGUUCCUCACAAGACGAAAUUAAUCCGUUCCGCGAGUCUCUUCGUCUAGCGGUUUUUUCGUCUUGCGAAGCAACCCUAUUAGCGGCUUAGCGGAUUAGCGCUAUUAGCGGUUUAGCGGCUAUUAAAGGCUUAGCGGCUUAGCGGCUAAAAGGCUAUUAGCAGCUUAGCGGCUUAGAAAAGGGGGGGGAAGCGAAAAAAAUCUCAAGACUCGCAAGACGUUUUCGUCUUGCGAAGCAAGCCCAUAGGGAAAUUCGUCCUGCGAAGCACAUCGAAAAACGGAAAACCCUUUCGUCUAGCGGGUUUUUCGUCUUGCGAGGCAUUCGUCUUGCGGGGCACCACUGUAUGUGCAAGGAUACGCAGCAACGCAGAGAAAAGUUGGUGCGUUCUGAUGUGUGUGUUCUAGUGUGUGCACUGCAUGGCACACACAACUUUGCCAACCAGCACGUCACCACUCUUCACCUGCCCUCAUCAUUGGCCACCUGGGUCAGCUGCCUCAGUCUGCCUAGUGGCAGGGCUGGCUAUGACUCUUUCGCAUCAUGAAAGCUUCACUCUCUGGUUCGCUGGAGGUAAAUUACUUGCCACAGGCCAUUCUGAAGAGUGGUUGCUAGGACUGCAUUUUACAAUACUGUUUAGGUGGAACUGAAGACUCCCUUCAAACAAAUAAGUUAUCAUUAUGAUCACGUAUAAAAUGCCUAAGAUGAUGGUUGGCAUAAGAAUAGCUAUGGUAUUUGGGUGGAAAGGCACAUUUCACAGAUGUUUUUAAAAUUCUCGGUGAGUAUACAAAUGGAAGCCUUCUUACUUACGGUUCAAUAUUCCCUUCCUCAAGAUCCACAGAUCUUGUACUGUGCAUUUUAUCCGUAUCUAGCUAUCAAUGCAGUUGCUUUGUUUUCUAUUCUUCACUUGCUGCCCUUAGUUAUUUUGAAAUAGAUAUCCCAGGAAGUUAUACAGCAAAGAGAGAUGUAGUGGAGACCUUGAAAAUGUCAUAAGUGAUUUUGCAGAAUUUCUAAGCUGCUUUCCAGCCAAUGCAUUUUGUUGCUGUUGUUCCAUUUUCUUUCUGGAAAGCGUAGAAAUAGAAGCACGUUUGCUUGACCUCCCAAUUAUUUUGGAUGUCAGCUUGACUAGAAUUGAUAGCUAAUCCCUAAUAGUUUGCUUUGCAAACUUCCUCCGUCGAAAAGGAAUGCUUUGAAAGAGUUGAACAUUUUGCGCAGUGUAAUCUAUUGGGGGAAAGAGGAAGUCAAACGAAUUUAAACCACAUCUCAAUGAUAAAGGGAUGCCUGGUGAAUUUAGCUUAGCAGCACAGCAUAUUCCAAAUAACAACAUGUAUUUCUCAAAAGGAGGAAAUUUAAUUCCCCACACUGCACUUAAUACUAUUCUGGCUCCUCUCGAAUUCUGUCACCCAGACCAGAAGUAGCCAGCAUAGUGCUCUUCAGAAAUUGUUGGAUUUGCAACACCUGCACAAUGUGACCUUCCGAGCUGAACACUAUUUCCAUAUAUUGAUACACCUGCACCUAUCCACCCACUGUUGAUAGUUUACAAGGCCCUCUGUAAUAAUCCUGGUUUUGAUGGGGGGGGGACCAGGAAGUGGUGUGAGGGUCAAGCAGUUAGCAGACCACAAUGCAUGGUGGUGACAGGCACUUGGCGUUUUGGUGUGAGGGGUCACAAACUGCAAAUUUCUAACAGGAGGGUCUGGUCCACAGCUGCAUGUUGAAUAUUUUCAUCUGUGGACCAGCCCCUAAAUGAGGACUUUCCAACUUGCGACCCACCAAGCCAAAAUGCCAAAUGCCUGACACCACUUUACAUUGUGGCUUGCCGGUUGCUUGACAAGUCCAAGAAAUAUUAAUUUAGUUCUAUUUCUCCUUAAAUACACAUUUUUCAUAUGCAUUUUAGUCGAAUAUAUGCAUUUUUUUUUUGCAAGGAAUUUCCUUUAAUGCAAUGAUUCAUUUUACACAAUUUUAACUGAUUUUUGUGCACACCUUUCCCUGGUAUAUUAAUUUUUGCGACAACCACCUCCUUAUCUACUCAAUUAACAUUCAUUUUUUUAAAAGAAUUGGAGAGCUGUGUUGCAAAAUUCAGAGAAGUGAGACGCAUGAAGGCUAGCUGCAUUUUGUUUUCAGACUUGUCAAUUAGGUAGUUUUGCAUUGAGAUGCAAACUUGAUGAAUUCCCCACCCGUAGUAUCACGAAAGAAAUAAACCAACAAACCUAGGAGUGGGCAUUUUAGAAUUUAGGGAAAGCGAAACUAGCAUUUUACACCAGAAGCAGAAAUUGCUGAGCCUAGCCCCCUCCCAAAGUGGAAAUUGCACUGAUCGCUGCAUAGUUUUUUUUUGUGGGGGGAUGUGCCUUUAUCUAAGUGAUGAGCCAAAGCUCAGUCUUCGCAGAGUCAAUAUGAGGUUGGAAGAAAGGCACAUUGCCAGGCACCAGAGGAGGAAAAAGCACAGCUACAGUAGACAUCCAUUUUGUUGUAGGAGGCAUAAUAGACCUUUUCAGGUUUUAUUGUUAUUUUUGGAUAAAGCGGAGCGUGGGGGCUUGGGGAGUGCAAGGAUGUGGUGGUGAAACUUCAAACAGGAAGCAAACUAUGUACUGAAAAAGUCACAUUUUAAUUGUAUAAAUAUGAAAUAACAUGAGCAUAACAAAGGAACGGCGUCUGCAUCCAAGAGAAAUAAAAGAGCAGGCUUCGGCCAUGGAAAAACCCAGGAUUGCUGACAUAAGACCUGAUUCAGCUGAGCCCUUAGAAAUUUAGAGCUUUUGAGGGCUUGUUUACAUCACGGAGACCCUUAGCUUGUAUUCUCCUCUCUCAACCCAAGCAAGGAAUCCCAAUGUGAUCCAGCCACAUAUCCUUCUUGGAGUCACUCCCAGGUCACCUGUUUCUCUAGGAAACCACAAACUCUGUCCCAGAGAUAACAGCCCCUCUAUCACACUAUCCCCUAAUGGGGAGCAAACCAAAAACGAGACUCAAGAACACCCAGUAGGAAAUUGCUGUUGACAUGUACAUACCAGUGUUCGAAACUCCCAUUGUUCCAGGAGCAUUUUGCGACAGGGAAUUUCAUUAGUGCAAGCUGUUUCUGAGCUCUGGGUGCAGUACUGCGCCUAAGAUUUCAGAUUAAAACUGAAGAGUGGAAGGAAAGGAGGACCUUUUUCUGCCUCCCCACUUCCAGCUACUCUCUGAAGGCUGGAGAAGAGACCCUCUUAAGAACAUUAGAGGAUGGGUGGGCAGGGGAAGGACUAGACCAUGUGAAAAAUGAACAUAAGAUUUUAGCUGCAGUUCAUUCAUUUUCAGCUUUGUUUUCUUGUUAUAAAAAAGUCCGCCUAGAUAUUCCAUUAUUGCGCCCAUAACCUAGGCUUAAGGUGACAUUUAGCUCCUAGCUUUCAUAUCUCAGUUUCUAACUCUGGUACAUCCAUACAUCCUUUUAUCUGCAGGCCACCUUUCCAUGGUUAAAACCAUGCUCAAGGCAGCUUGCAACAUGAAAAAACACACCAAACACAAGAGCCUUUUCACAGACACGCCCCAAUUUUUUUUGAGCAUCAGCAGAACUGUGAAACACAGCCCCCCCCCUUUAUGCAAACCAAGAAGUGAGAUUCGCAGGAAACGGAUAUUCAGCAAAGAACCAUUGUAGCUUCCUUCUAGGAUCCCUUGUGUACCAGCCUGGUUCCCCCUUUCUGUUUGGUGAGGCUGUCAGUACACCUUGGGGGACAUGAGUCAUCACUUUGGCACCACGUAGGAUUAACAGAGAGCCAGGACACCAUGUUGGGAGAGGUAAAACAUUAUUUUCUGGCUUGCAACCUCCCUACAUAGUGCCACCUACUUUUUGGAUGUACAGCUAACACAACAGGGCGCUGCUAGAGAUUUCUCAUGGAAAAGUAUGCAAAAAGGACUCCGGAAACCAAAUAGUCCUGAUUACACACCUAGUUGCAUUGAUUCAGUGCCCCUUAAGCCAGCCUUGUUUGGGUUCGUUCAUAGUUUAAUUUUGAUUUUUGCUUGUUCUCUAGCUCCAAGAAGCUCCAGCAUGCAAGUUAAAGUAUUGCUCUUCUUAGCAAAGUCAGAAAGAUGAACAAAAGUAAAUCUACACUGGAACACGUUCAAGGGGAAGGGUGCUCUUAAGAGCUGCAAUUUUCUGUAGAAGGAUCCCCCCCCCUUUUUUGCAAUAUAUUGCAACGUAUCAUUACUCUGGUUUUAUCCUCUUCCAUUUGGCAAAGGCUCACCCCUUUCCCCUUCUCCGUUCCUCAUAGAGCAAAAGAAGAAGAAGCCAAAUGUGGCUCCCUUUCAAAUAGUUUCAAACCGUGCCAGCAGCAAUAAUAAAUAACUGAGGAGUCUCACAAUUGGUUUAGCUUACCCAAAACUUUGAAAGGAUUCUUUUAAAAAGAAAAACACACACUAAACAGUCCCAAACCCUCAAGGAUGGCACCAGGAAAUAUGCAUUUUUCGGGGUCUCCUUUUGUAGUAAAAUAAAUAGAAUGACAGGAGAGGUAGGUAGCCACAUAGAAAGAUACUGGUAAGCAUUUCAGAGAAACUUGGUUUUUUAGGGCAGCUGGAAAUAAAGGAGUCAGAUAAAUGAGAGAUAUUAUUGAUGUCGCGACUAUGCAUAGUGCUUUACAACGUAAUAGCAUGGCAGAAUUAUAGUCAGUGGUGACUGGGACUGGCAGAGCAGCAGUCAGGAAGACCAAUGGUAUAUAAUUGUUUCAUUUUGUAUUUUUAUGCCCCGUGAACUCUGGAUGAAGGUUGGUAUACAAAUAUAAAUAUAAAUGAAUAAAA